GACGAACGCUGGCGGCGUGCUUAACACAUGCAAGUCGAGCGGUAAGGCCCUUUCGGGGGUACACGAGCGGCGAACGGGUGAGUAACACGUGGGUGACCUGCCCUCAGCUCUGGGAUAAGCCUGGGAAACUGGGUCUAAUACCGGAUAUGACCUGCUGCUUCAUGGUGGUGGGUGGAAAGUGCAGUAACAUUGUUACUGUUUCGGCUGGGGAUGGGCCCGCGGCCUAUCAGCUUGNGGUGGGGUGAUGGCCUACCAAGGCGACGACGGGUAGCCGGCCUGAGAGGGCGACCGGCCACACUGGGACUGAGACACGGCCCAGACUCCUACGGGAGGCAGCAGUGGGGAAUAUUGCGCAAUGGGCGGAAGCCUGACGCAGCGACGCCGCGUGGGGAUGACGG
rnacentral:rRNA from 1 species